CCCUCUUCUCUCUUCUCUCCCAGGUCACUCUGUAUGAGUGUAUGGUCACUCGCCGCCGGGAACGCCCGUCUUGGGGGUCCCCAGUGGGCUGACGCCACUGAAUCCGUUACCGCCUCGCCGGUUACUUCAGGUUUCCCUCCGAUUUGCCAAGAUCAGGGCUCAGUAUCCGCUUCGCGCUCCUCCUCCAUGCCUGGGAGGCUGCGACGCGGAGCCGUCGCCAUGGCCGCAGCCCCAUCGUGGAUUUCCCUUUUUCUGAUGCCUCCAUGUUCGCCAGUGCUGUUGAGUCCGUGAGCCGUGCUUAUGCGCUGCAAUUGCCCACGGGCGUCGCGUCAUCGAGAUGGCCCGUUGCCAAGCACCCCAGCUCCUCCUCCGACGGUGCCUCCUCAGUUCGAACAGGAUGCACAUUCACGGUUAUCCUUAAUAAUGGCAGAGGAUCAAUUCCUGCGGAAUAAGGUGUUGCAUCAGCGCAACACAUGAUCUGUUUGCAAUAUUAUUAACAAUUGAUGUGAAUUAGUUGCUGAAAGAAUUGACCAGGACAAUGUGUAUAGUAGUGCUAUAUUUAGCUAUUGCUUAUCCGCUUCAACAACUGUGUGCGUCUAUAUUUAUUUCCUCCGGUGGGUGGGUUUAGAACAUCGUGCAACAAGACAUCCUGCAGCACCAAGCUUGUAGUCUGGUGGAGGAAUCUGGUUAUGACAGAGUUAAGAUGAACUCGCACGGUGACCAUCAAGGUCUUUUGGAUUUAUAGGAUUUUAAGGUCCUUUUAGGACUCCAGUACUUGCGAUUUUUUCCGUGCAAAUGCCAUUUCGAUCGUGCUACCCAAUUUCUAUGUAUUGUUUUUCUGCGCCUUCAGAUUUCCUAGGAAUUUUAACGUCCUUGAGGCACUUUUGCUUUC